AGCGCAGAGUGGUUAAACUCUCGGUGCGCUGUCAGAGGGUCCGUAUGGCUGAAUUGUUUCCAGAACAGAACCUGCUGUGUCCCUGUGGUUCGGACAUGACGCCCAUCCUCAUAUCAGUGCUCGUGAUGAUACUCACAUUCGGAGGAAUCAGAGCCCAGACAGUGACCCAGCCAGAGGACCACAUCGCUGUCUUUGAAGGGGCCCUGGUGCAGGUGAAGUGCAACUACUCCUAUACGGGGAGCCCUGUGCUCUUCUGGUAUGUCCAGUACCCUGGACAAGGCCUCCAGGUCCUCCUGAAACACACCUCAAGCGAUAGAACCAAAGGAUUCACAGCUGCUCUCGACAGAGGGGAGAAGUCCUUCCACCUGCAGAAACCCUCAUCUCAUUUGGACGACUCAGCCACAUACUACUGUGCUCUGAGUGGCACAGCAACUGCGCUUGCAGGGGAAGCCGAGCACAAACCCUUCAGAGUGACACAAAGUGCUUCCUGUCAGCUCUGUCUGUGGUCCCAGUGA